CGGCGCCGUUUCAAACAUCUCUGUACCCGGAUCGGCCCUACAUGACAUUAUCCAGUUAACCAACUACAAAUUCCAUUUUUUACUUUGUGCUCAUCCUCCACUUCCGGCGCCAUUUACCAACCCCCAUAGCGCCACCCAUGGCUUCCGCGGCCUCGAAGCAUCUCAAUCUCGAGAUCACCGUAAUCUCUGCUAAACACCUUAAGAACGUUAAUUGGCGAAAGGGCGAUCUGAAACCAUAUGCUACUUUCUAUCUGGAUAACUCGGACCAGCGGCUCGCUACUCAUUCCGAUGACUCGGGCUGCACUCGCCCCGUUUGGAACGAGCGAUUCACUCUGCCUAUUACUCAUCCCCAAAGUGAUUCAAUGCUCACUCUUGAGAUCCUUCACUGCAAUCCAUCUGAAACUCCUAAGCCUCUUGUCGGUACCGUUAAGUUUCCACUGAGUCA
rnacentral:misc_RNA from 1 species